CCUACGGGUGGCAGCAGUGGGGAAUAUUGGGCAAUGGGCGCAAGCCGGACCCAGCAACGCCGCGUGAAGGAAGAAGGCUCUCGGGUUGUAAACUUCUGUUAUCAGGGAAGAAGAAAGUGACGGUACCUGAUGAAUAAGCCACGGCUAACUACGUGCCAGCAGCCGCGGUAAUCCGUAGGUGGCAAGCGUUAUCCGGAUUUACUGGGUGUAAAGGGCGUGGAGGUGGGAAAGCAAGUUGGAUGUGAAAACCAUGGGCUCAACCUGUGGCCUGCCUUUGACACUGUUUGUCUUGAGUACUGGAGAGGCAGGCGGAAUUCCUAGUGUAGCGGUGAAAUGCGUAGAUAUUAGGAGGAACACCAGUGGCGAAGGCGGUCUGCUGGACAGCAACUGACGCUGAGGCGCGAAAGCGUGGGGAGCAAACAGGAUUAGAUACCCCUGUAGUC
rnacentral:rRNA from 1 species